rnacentral:tRNA from 1 species
GCGCCGGUGGUGUAGCGUAGAGCAUUCCCGCCCGGUCAUCAGGAAGUGCGGGUUCGAGUCCCGCCUGGCGCC